rnacentral:tRNA from 1 species
GGAGAUAUGGCGGAAUUGGUAGACGCAGUAUGUUAGUGCACGACAUACGUCCAUAAUGUCAACGUAGCUGUAAUGGCGUAAAGCGGGUAAUUGGUUCGGGUUCGAGUCCCGUUAUCUCCA